rnacentral:rRNA from 1 species
GUCGGGAAUAUUGCUCAAUGGACGGAAGUCUGAAGCAGCAACGCCGCGUGCGCGAUGAAGGCCUUCGGGUCGUAAAGCGCUUUUCGGGAGGAUGAGGAAGGACAGUACUCCCGGAAUAAGUCACGGCUAACUACGUGCCAGCAGCCGCGGUAAAACGUAGGUGGCAAGCGUUAUCCGGAUUUACUGGGCGUAAAGCGCGUGCAGGCGGUUCGGCAAGUCGGGCAUGAAACCCCCAGGCUCAACCUGGGGGGGCUGUCCGAAACUGCCGGACUAGAGGACAGUAGAGGAGGGUGGAAUUCCGGGUGGAGUGGUGAAAUGCGUAGAUAUCCGGAGGAACACCAGUGGCGAAAGCGGCCCUCUGGGCUGCUCCUGACGCUCAGACGCGAAAGCUAGGGGAGCGAACGGGAUUAGAAACCCCAGUAGUCC